rnacentral:rRNA from 1 species
GGUUGCGAUCAUACCAUCACUAAUGCACCGGAUCCCAUCAGAACUCCGCAGUUAAGCGUGCUUGGGCGAGAGUAGUACUAGGAUGGGUGACCCCCUGGGAAGUCCUCGUGUUGCAACCC